rnacentral:rRNA from 1 species
GAUUAACGCUGGCGGCGUGCCUAACACAUGCAAGUCGAACGCGGUAGCAAUACCGAGUGGCAGACGGGUGAGUAACGCGUGGUCAACCUACCCUUGAGUGGGGGAUAACUAGCCGAAAGGUUAGCUAAUACCGCAUACGUCGUUGAACGGCAUCGUUUGAUGAUAAAAGGAGCAAUUCGCUCGAGGACGGGACUGCGUCCCAUUAGCUAGAUGGUGGGGUAAUGGCCUACCAUGGCACCGAUGGGUAGCUGGUUUGAGAGAGCGACCAGCCACACUG